AUGUUCUAGGUGAUUGGUGUUGUCUUUGUAUCGGCAUCGGCGACAGUAGUGACGCUGGAUUGUGUCUUUCCUUGGGAGGGUUGUGAUACCUGGUGGCUAAUGUUUUGUCUUUGUUUUAACGGCGGCGGCAGCAGUGACACUGGUGGUUGUUGUUGGGAUAUGGUGCUCUUCUUUACUCUGCGCUGAUCGAAGAACUAUGCUUGGUCAUAUGAGGUUUUCUUUGUCAGGUUUCGAGUUGAAGUGGAGAACUUCUCAUGCGUCUUUUUACUGUUGUUUAUGUGUUCGUCCUCUGUGUUCUCUCUUGGUUUCUGCUAUAGUAUGACUUACAGUUUGUAUGGGUGUCAAAGGACUAUGAUUUUGCUCAUAGAAGGCUUCUUUUAA
rnacentral:lncRNA from 1 species